rfam:Hortaea werneckii EXF-2000 unitig_375, whole genome shotgun sequence.
AGGUUCGGUCAGAGGUUACAGAACACAGAGGAUCCCGUCCGCUCUCCUGCACUUAAGCUGUAGACCGGCAGACUAGUAUUGACGUCGGUGACGAGUCGAGAAUCCCUGCUGCUGAACUUU